GUGGGGAAUUUUGGACAAUGGGCGCAAGCCUGAUCCAGCAAUGCCGCGUGUGUGAAGAAGGCCUUCGGGUUGUAAACUGCUUUUGUACGGAACGAAACGGUCCGGGUUAAUACCCUGGGCUAAUGACGGUACCGUAAGAAUAAGCACCGGCUAACUACGUGCCAGCAGCCGCGGUAAUACGUAGGGUGCAAGCGUUAAUCGGAAUUACUGGGCGUAAAGCGUGCGCAGGCGGUUUUGUAAGACAGGCGUGAAAUCCCCGGGCUCAACCUGGGAAUUGCGCUUGUGACUGCAAGGCUGGAGUGCGGCAGAGGGGGAUGGAAUUCCGCGUGUAGCAGUGAAAUGCGUAGAGAUGCGGAGGAACACCGAUGGCGAAGGCAGCCCCCUGGGAUGACACUGACGCUCAUGCACGAAAGCGUGGGGAGCAAACAGGAUUAGAAACCCGAGUAGUCC
rnacentral:rRNA from 1 species